AAGACCUUGCGCUUUUGGAGCGGCCGAUGCCUGAUUAGCUUGUUGGUAAGGUAAAAGCUUACCAAGGCUUCGAUCAGUAGCUGGUCUGAGAGGACGACCAGCCACACUGGGACUGAGACACGGCCCAGACUCCUACGGGAGGCAGCAGUGGGGAAUUUUGGACAAUGGGGGCAACCCUGAUCCAGCCAUGCCGCGUGAGUGAAGAAGGUCUUCGGGUUGUAAAGCUCUUUCAGCCGGAACGAAACGGUUACGGAUAACACCCGUGACUACUGACGGUACCGGAAGAAGAAGCACCGGCUAACUACGUGCCAGCAGCCGCGGUAAUACGUAGGGUGCGAGCGUUAAUCGGAAUUACUGGGCGUAAAGCGUGCGCAGGUGGUUUUGUAAGUCAGAUGUGAAAGCCCCGGGCUCAACCUGGGAACU
rnacentral:rRNA from 1 species